CAGAAGACUAGUGGCUAUCUCUCUUAGGUUUCCACGACCAAAGUGGUUGACUCAUGAUGGAGGCCUAACGUUGUGUGUUCAAGCCUAUCGCGACGUUUCGGACUCUGUGAUCCUUCCUCAGGCGAGCUCUGAACACUAAAUGGCUGGAAUUCUCUACAGCAGCCAUGACUCUAGUCACCACAGA